rfam:Rattus norvegicus chromosome 6, whole genome shotgun sequence.
GGGGAUUUAGCUCAGUGGUAGAGCGCUUGCCUAGCAAGCGCAAGGCCCUGGGUUCAGUUCCCAGCUCCA